UAAGGAAUAUUGGACAAUGGUCGCAAGACUGAUCCAGCCAUGCCGCGUGCAGGAAGACGGCCCUAUGGGUUGUAAACUGCUUUUGUACCAGAGAAAACCUAUCUACGUGUAGAUAGCUGAUAGUAUGGUAAGGAUAAGCAUCGGCUAACUUCGUGCCAGCAGCCGCGGUAAGACGAAGGAUGCAAGCGUUAUCCGGAUUCAUUGGGUUUAAAGGGUGCGUAGGCGGGCUUGUAAGUCAGUGGUGAAAUCUCUCAGCUUAACUGAGAAACUGCCAUUGAUACUGCAGGCCUAGAGUAUAGAUGACGUUGGCGGAAUAUGACAUGUAGUGGUGAAAUACUUAGAUAUGUCAUAGAACACCGAUUGCGAAGGCAGCUAACGAAACUAUAACUGACGCUGAGGCACGAAAGUGCGGGGAUCAAACA
rnacentral:rRNA from 1 species